GAUGCAGAAGGGUCUUCAUUUGUGAAAUGAUGAAAAUAAAUUUAAUGGGGAAGCAGGAGGUGCUACUGGUUACCUUUCAACUAUUCUCUUAUUGGAUGUACUAAAUAUACUUCUCAAACUUACUUUCAGAUGGAGAGUACUGGAAUUUCUGCAGAGAAAGAAGUGCAAAAAAAUUGCACAUCUGAGAAGAGCAGAUACGGAAAGGGUUCCGUGGGACUGGAGAGUGACAAGAAAUUCAGAAGCUGCAAGGCAUUAAUCAGAAAGAACCAGAAAGGCAUUCCAGGAGCACACACCUUCCAUAUCUUCAUGUGCUGGCCUGGAAGCUCAGCUUCACCCCUGACCACAUGAACCCUCGCCCAGGGGAAUUUCAGACAGGUACAGAUGCACCAAGAGGAACAAAGUGUCCAAAUCCCAGCGUGCCAGCCACAAAGCCCCAGGAUAUCCAGUUACACUGAUCAAAACCCACAGUGCUAAGAGAUGGAAAAAUCUCUAUUCUGAUAUUGUUUGACAGUGAAGAAGGGUGGACAGAGUGUGUAUUGAUGCUCCUGAUAUGUAAAAACUACCUCAGAUUAGUGGAUAUACCUGAAAGUGGGAGACAAAUGGAUAAUACAACAUUGACCACGUUGUCCACAUUUUGUACUCACAAAUCAGUUUUCUUUUGACAAGACUCAUUUUUCACAGCAGUAUCUUUGUCUCCAAGCCUUUGCCAAGCAGUUAUAACUUCAUCAGUGCAUUUGGGGAUACAUUUAACAAAAUUGCCUUUUGCAGAAGUGAGAUGGUACCAAAGCAAUGCAAUUCUGAAAAACAAAAACACAGAGGGAAGAAGAAAAGCUAUCUUGAGGAACUAGUGAAUGUGGCCCUCAAUUUCCUAAUAAAAUGCCCCAGUGCAUUGUUGCUUUUCUAUUUUUCUCUUUAUGAGUUACAGGAAAAUAAAAUUACCAUAAUUUUGCAACAUGUGCAACAUCAUUUCAUUACAAGGAAAAGAAGCCAAAAUUGUGCUUUAUUUUAAUGAAAUUAUGUUAUUAUUAAGAUUUCUCUAAUGUGACCUUUGAUCUUGAAUUCUUCAUGAAAUCACAUGCACAAGGUACAGAUAGUGACAUAGUGAGCCUCCUCUCUUUAGUUGUUCCAGAGGCUGUGUCCAAACACAUGAAAAUCUCAGAAUUCCUUAAUGGUUUCCUCUAAAUAACCAAAACCAUUUUCUUAUGCAUCAUCAAACAGUUACAGCCAUGCUGAGAUUAUGUGACUAAAACUUCAAGGCAGAAAAUACCAAAUGUAAAUGUGCCUGUGUCGCUUUGUCCAUUACUGUAUCAUCUUUGAUUAGAGAAUCAUAUUAAAUUAAUAAUUAAUAAUAUCUUGGCUUACCUCCUUCAGCUGUACAUAUGGCAUUCCUGUGCAUUUGCUGUGCUUGCACUAGGGUAAUGAAGAACAUGAUAUAACAUAGAAACCAUAUUACUAAUCUGUAGGAACUCUGCUCAUUCAUCUGUCCUCCCCUCAUAAAGCCAGGCCACUAGCCCUAGCAGAUUAGUGUUUGAACAAGGAUAACUUGACAUGGGCUGCUAGACAAAAGCAAGACAAAACAUUCCUAGCUGAGGAUGGUAGGCAGAGGAAUGCAGAGCAUCCUGAGGACAGACCAACCAGCCUUUGGCUGAUCAGUGUAGCUUGCAUUUGAGAAACACUUCUAAUUGUGUGUUGUAUAUUAAAUGUUUUUAAUCACAACUUGUAGAUUAAAAAUUUCCUUCCAACUAGACUUUAAUAAAA